AUUGAACGCUGGCGGCAGGCCUAACGCAUGCAAGUCGAACGGUAACAGGAAACAGCUUGCUGUUUCGCUGACGAGUGGCGGACGGGUGAGUAAUGUCUGGGAAACUGCCUGAUGGAGGGGGAUAACUACUGGAAACGGUAGCUAAUACCGCAUAACGUCGCAAGACCAAAGAGGGGGACCUUCGGGCCUCUUGUCAUCGGAUGCGCCCAGAUGGGAUUAGCUAGUAGGUGGGGUAACGGCUCACCUAGGCGACGAUCCCCAGCUGGUCUGAGAGGAUGACCAGCCACACUGGAACUGAGACACGGUCCAGACUCCUACGGGAGGCAGCAGUGGGGAAUAUUGCACAAUGGGCGCAAGCCUGAUGCAGCCAUGCCGCGUGUAUGAAGAAGGCCUUCGGGUUGUAAAGUACUUUCAGCGGGGAUGAAGGGAGUAAAGUUAAUACCUUUGCUCAUCGACGGUACCCGCAGAAGAAGCACCGGCUAACUCCGUG
rnacentral:rRNA from 1 species